UACGGGGGGAGCAAGCGUUGUUCGGAUUUACUGGGCGUAAAGGGCGCGUAGGCGGUUUUGCAAGUCGGGUGUGAAAUCCCCAGGCUUAACCUGGGAACUGCAUUCGAGACUGCAUUACUAGAGUAUGGGAGAGGGAAGUGGAAUUUCCGGUGUAGCGGUGAAAUGCGUAGAUAUCGGAAGGAAUAUCAGUGGCGAAAGCGACUUCCUGGACCAAUACUGACGCUCAUGUGCGAAAGCGUGGGGAGCAAACAGG
rnacentral:rRNA from 1 species